ACACGUAGGGGGCGAGCGUUGUUCGGACUCAUUGGGCGUAAAGGGCGUGCAGGCGGUCCUGCAAGUCCGGCGUGAAAGACCCCGGCCCAACCGGGGGGACGCGCUGGAAACUGCGGGGCUUGAGUACAGGAGGGGAUGCCGGAAUUCCAGGUGUAGGGGUGAAAUCUGUAGAUAUCUGGAAGAACACCAAUGGCGAAGGCAGGCAUCUGGCCAUGUACUGACGCUGAGACGCGAAGGUGCGGGGAGCAAACAGGUUUAGAUACCCUGGUAGUCCGCACAGUAAACGAUGUGCACCAGGUGGCGGGGGGUCGACCCUCGGUACCGUAGCUAACGCAUUAAGUGCACCGCCUGGGGAGUAUGCUCGCAAGGGUGAAACUCAAAUGAAUUGACGGGG
rnacentral:rRNA from 1 species